AGAUCANCGCCUGCCCGCUGAGGACUGGUCACAGCGGCUGAUCCCAUCUGCGCAAAGGUAGCAAAAUCUCUUGCCUAUAAGAUGACUGGCCCAUGGAAAGGGGUGAGAUCUAAGCGGUGUCUCACUUAAUUAUCUAACAAUUAUUCCCUAUUUGAACAAGAAUAGAUACACUCGAAGGACAAGAACACCCUAUCCAGCUUAAUUUUACCUAUAUAACAGUACUAUAAAAAUAUUCGGCUGGGGCGACCUAGGGCUAAAUAAUCACCCAAUACAUAACAGAUGUGUCAAUCACUUAAAUGACCCUUACCACAUCAAAAGACCAGGCUACCUUAGGGAUAACAGGCUAAUCCCACUCACGAGUCCUUAUCAACAGUGGGGUUUGGCACCUCGAUGUUGGCUUAGGAUAUCUAUCUAGCGCAUAAGCUACAUCAUGAUGGUUUGUUCAACCAAUAACUUCCUACUG
rnacentral:rRNA from 1 species